GAUCAUGACUGGAUGGCAUGGAGAACAGUGGGAUUUUCAAAACAAUGAAAAGACAAUGGAACAUUCUGAUCACUGGAUCAUGACUGGAUGGCAUGGAGAACAGUGAGAUUUUCAAAACAAUGAAAAGGCAAUGGAACAUUCUGAUCACUGGAUCAUGACUGGAUGACAUGGAGAACAAUGAGAUUUUCAAAUCAAUGAAAAGACAAUGGAACAUUCUGAUCAC